CCUACGAGGAGCAGCAGUGAGGAAUAUUGGUCAAUGGACGGAAGUCUGAACCAGCCAUGCCGCGUGCAGGAAGACGGCUCUAUGAGUUGUAAACUGCUUUUGUACAAGGGUAAACCUGAAUACGUGUAUUCAGCUGAAAGUACUGUACGAAUAAGGAUCGGCUAACUCCGUGCCAGCAGCCGCGGUAAUACGGAGGAUCCAAGCGUUAUCCGGAUUUAUUGGGUUUAAAGGGUGCGUAGGCGGAUUGAUAAGUUAGAGGUGAAAUGUCCGAGCUUAACUCGGGAACUGCCUCUAAUACUGUUGUUCGAGCGAGUAGAUGCGGUAGGCGGAAUGUAUGGUGUAGCGGUGAAAUGCUUAGAGAUCAUACAGAACACCGAUUGCGAAGGCAGCUUACCAAUCUAUAUCUGACGUUGAGGCACGAAAGCGUGGGGAGCAAACAGGAUUAGAUACCCUGGUAGUC
rnacentral:rRNA from 1 species